rnacentral:rRNA from 1 species
AGGACGAACGCUGGCGGCGUGCUUAACACAUGCAAGUCGAGCGGUAAGGCCUUUCGGGGUACACGAGCGGCGAACGGGUGAGUAACACGUGGGUGAUCUGCCCUGCACUCUGGGAUAAGCCUGGGAAACUGGGUCUAAUACCGGAUAUGGACCUGCUCUCGCAUGGGGGGUGGGUGGAAAGAGUUUAUCGGUGCAGGAGUCGGGGCCCCGCGGCCUAGUCCAGUCCGUUUAGGUUGGGUGGGGUAAAUCGGGCCCUUACCGAAGGCGGACGACGGGGUAGACCGACCGUGGAGGAGGGUCGACCCGGCCACGACGUGGGACUGACGACGACCGGCCAGACUCCGACGGGAGCAGCAGGUGGGAAUAUUGACAACGAAGUCGGGACGAAAGUCCGUAGAGU